rnacentral:rRNA from 1 species
UGAGUACGAGAUGCUACGGCAUCGAAGCAGUCUAUGUCAUACUUCCAAGAAAAGCUUGCAAUGUCAUAAACAAAUAAUGCCUGUACCAUAACCGACACAGGUGGGUAGGUAGAGUAUACUAAGGGGCGCGAGAUAACUCUCUCUAAGGAACUCGGCAAAAUGACUCCGUAACUUCGGGAGAAGGAGUGCCUUAUUUUUAUAAGGUUGCAAUAACAAGAUCCAAGCAACUGUUUACCAAAAACACAGGUCUCCGCUAAGUCGUAAGACGAUGUAUGGGGGCUGACGCCUGCCCAGUGCCAGAAGGUUAAAGAAGUUGGUUAGCAUUAGCGAAGCUGAUAACUGAAGCCCUGGUGAACGGCGGCCGUAACAAUAACGGUCCUAAGGUAGCGAAAUUCCUUGUCGGGUAAGUUCCGACCCGCACGAAAGGCGUAAUGAUUUGGAUACUGUCUCGGAGAGGGGCUCGGUGAAAUAGACUUGUCUGUGAAGAUGCGGACUACCUGCACCUGGACAGAAAGACCCUAUGAAGCUUUACUGUAACUUGAGAUUGAAAUUGGACUUUAUCUGCCAGUAUAGGUGGGAGACGUUGAAAAUAUUCUUGCGGGAAUAUUGGAGUCAUCAGUGAGAUACCACUCUUAUAAUGUUAGAUUUCUAACUUUGUAUCAUUAUCUGGUCAAAGAACAGUUUCAGGCGGGCAGUUUGACUGGGGCGGUCGCCUCCCAAACGGUAACGGAGGCGCACAAAGGUUUCCUCUGAACGUGUAGAAAUCGUAUCUAGAGUGUAAAGGCAUAAGGAAGCUUGACUGUGAGACCUACAAGUCGAGCAGGGACGAAAGUCGGUCUUAGUGAUCUGACGGUGCUGAGUGGAAAGGCCGUCACUCAACGGAUAAAAGUUACUCUAGGAUAACAGGCUGAUCUCCCCCAACAGUUCACAUCGACGGGGAGGUUUGGCACCUCGAUGUCGGCUCAUCGCAUCCUGGGGCGGUAGUACGUCCCAAGGGUUGGGCUGUUCGCCCAUGAAAGCGGUACGCGAGCUGGGUUCAGAACGUCGUGAGACAGUUCGGUCCAUAUCCGGUGUAGGCGUUAGAAUAUUGAGAGGAGCCUUCUUUAGUACGAGAGGACCGAGAAGGACAUACCUCUGGUGUACCAGUUAUCGUGCCAACGGUAAACGCUGGGUAGCCAUGUAUGGAGAGGAUAACCGCUGAAAGCAUCUAAGUGGGAAGCCCACCUCAAGAUAAGUAUUCUCA